UACGCGGGUGGAGAUGUCCGGUAACGCGAAGAACCUUACCAGGUCUUGACAUCCUCUGACAACCUUAGGGCUUCCCCUUCGGGGGCAGAGUGACAGGUGGUGCAUGGUUGUCGUCAGCUCGUGUCGUGAGAUGUUGGGUUAAGUCCCGCAACGAGCGCAACCCUUGAUCUUAGUUGCCAGCAUUCAGUUGGGCAAUCAAGGUCUGGUGACAAACCGGAGGAAGGUGGGGAUGACGUCAAAUCAUCAUGCCCCUUAUGACCUGGGCUACACACGUGCUACAAUGGGCAGAACAAAGGGCAGCGAAGCCGCGAGGCUAAGCCAAUCCCACAAAUCUGUUCUCAGUUCGGAUCGCAGUCUGCAACUCGACUGCGUGAAGCUGGAAUCGCUAGUAAUCGCGGAUCAGCAUGCCGCGGUGAAUACGUUCCCGGGCCUUGUACACACCGCCCGAAA
rnacentral:rRNA from 1 species